GACGAACGCUGGCGGCGUGCUUAACACAUGCAAGUCGAACGGAAAGGCCCUGCUUUUGUGGGGUGCUCGAGUGGCGAACGGGUGAGUAACACGUGAGUAACCUGCCCUUGACUUUGGGAUAACUUCAGGAAACUGGGGCUAAUACCGGAUAGGAGCUCCUGCUGCAUGGUGGGGGUUGGAAAGUUUCGGCGGUUGGGGAUGGACUCGCGGCUUAUCAGCUUGUUGGUGGGGUAGUGGCUUACCAAGGCUUUGACGGGUAGCCGGCCUGAUAGGGUGACCGGCCACAUUGGGACUGAGAUACGGCCCAGACUCCUACGGGAGGCAGCAGUGGGGAAUAUUGCACAAUGGGCGGAAGCCUGAUGCAGCAACGCCGCGUGCGGGAUGACGGCCUUCGGGUUGUAAACCGCUUUCGCCUGUGACGAAGCGUGAGUGACGGUAAUGGGUAAAGAAGCACCGGCUAACUACGUG
rnacentral:rRNA from 1 species